rnacentral:snoRNA from 15 species
UCGUCAGUAAGGUUAAUCCUUACCUGUUCCUCCUUUUGGAGAACAGAGAUAAAAUGAUGAUUGGAGCUCUCAUGAUACGUGAUUAGCGUCUCCGUGUGAGCAGGACUUGCAACAUCCUGUUUGCUCCUAUCUGAU